rnacentral:rRNA from 1 species
GUGCUACACAUGCAGUCGAGCGCGAAAGGGGGGGCAACUCCCUGAGUAGAGCGGCAAACGGGUGAGUAACACGUGGGUAAUCUGCCUUCGAGUGGGGAAUAACAGUGGGAAACUGCUGCUAAUACCGCAUAACAUCCUCGGACCUUCGGGGUCGAGGAUCAAAGCCGGGACCGCAAGGCCUGGCGCUUGAAGAAGAGCUCGCGUCCGAUUAGCUAGUUGGCGGGGUAAUGGCCCACCAAGGCUACGAUCGGUAGCCGGCCUGAGAGGGCGGACGGCCACACUGGGACUGAGACACGGCCCAGACUCCUACGGGAGGCAGCAGUGGGGAAUUUUUCGCAAUGGGGGCAACCCUGACGAAGCAACGCCGCGUGGAGGAUGAAGGUCUUCGGAUUGUAAACUCCUGUCGAUCGGGACGAAAGUCCCCUGCUCCAAUACAGCAGGGGAUUGACUGUACCGGUGGAGGAAGCUCCGGCCAACUCUGUGCCAGCAGCCGCGGUAAUACAGAGGGAGCGAGCGUUGUUCGGAAUUACUGGGCGUAA